GGGCGCAUAGCUCAGCUGGGAGAGCAUCUGCCUUACAAGCAGGGGGUCAUAGGUUCGAGCCCUAUUGCGCCCACCA
rnacentral:tRNA from 3 species